rnacentral:rRNA from 1 species
GUGGGGAAUAUUGGACAAUGGGCGAAAGCCUGAUCCAGCCAUGCCGCGUGUGUGAAGAAGGUCUUCGGAUUGUAAAGCACUUUAAGUUGGGAGGAAGGGCAGUAAGUUAAUACCUUGCUGUUUUGACGUUACCGACAGAAUAAGCACCGGCUAACUUCGUGCCAGCAGCCGCGGUAAUACGAAGGGUGCAAGCGUUAAUCGGAAUUACUGGGAGUAAAGCGCGCGUAGGUGGUUUUGUAAGUUGGUGGUGAAAUCCCCGGGCUCAACCUGGGAACUGCCUCCAAAACUGCAUGACUAGAGUACGGUAGAGGGUAGUGGAAUUUCCUGUGUAGCGGUGAAAUGCGUAGAUAUAGGAAGGAACACCAGUGGCGAAGGCGACUACCUGGACUGAUACUGACACGGAGGUGCGAAAGCGUGGGGAGCAAACAGGAUUAGAUACCCUUGUAGUCC